GGGCUUUCCAACUAGAUGUAGCCGAUAAGUCAAACCAUACCUCCUUUAAAUGAGUGUAAUUGGCAACCGGAUUAGUAGGUUCCGAGACAUUUGAAGCUGACCACCAAGUAGUAUUUUAGUAUUAACAUUAUAGGCUUUUUGUCCCAAGCAAGUUAGCUCACCUACAGACGUGUUAUACAUUGUCCCUUUCCUGGCUAUACAAAC